UUAGCUCAGUGGUUAGAGCAGUCGACUCAUAAUCGAUUGGUCCCCAGUUCAAGUCUGGGAGGGGCCA
rnacentral:tRNA from 1 species